UCUUGACUCGAAUCAGAUAGGAU
rnacentral:rRNA from 1 species